AGACUUACCAGGCAGGGGAGACGCCAUGGCCACAAGGGUAGUUUUUCCCAGGGCAAAGCUUAUCUAUUGCACUGAAGACAUGCUGACCCCUGUGAUUUCCCCAAAUGUGGGAAACUCAAGGGCAUAAUUUGUGGUAGUAGCAUACUGGAUGCAUCCUUUCCCCUG
ensembl:snRNA U1 U1 spliceosomal RNA